UGUUGGUUCUCCCGCAACGCUACUCUGUUUACCAGGUCAGGUCCGGAAGGAAGCAGCCAGGCAGAUGACGCGUGUGCCGGGAUGUAGCUGGCAGGG
rnacentral:SRP_RNA from 1 species